UACAUUUUUGCAGCCACUUUGUGA
rnacentral:siRNA from 1 species